rnacentral:rRNA from 1 species
UACGUAGGGUGCGAGCGUUAAUCGGAAUUACUGGGCGUAAAGCGUGCGCAGGCGGUUUUGUAAGCCAGAUGUGAAAUCCCCGGGCUCAACCUGGGAAUGGCAUUUGGGACUGCAAGGCUGGAGUACAGCAGAGGAGACUGGAAUUCCUGGUGUAGCAGUGAAAUGCGUAGAUAUCAGGAGGAAUACCGAUGGCGAAGGCAGGUCUCUGGGCUGAUACUGACGCUCAUGCACGAAAGCGUGGGGAGCAAACAGG